rfam:Homo sapiens chromosome 3, GRCh38 reference primary assembly.
GCCGGGCGUGGUGGUGCAUGCCUGUAAUCCCAGCCACUGGGGAGGCUGAGGCAGGAGAAUCGCUUGAACCCAGGAGGUGGAGGUUGCGGUGAGCCGAGAUCCCGCCAUUGCACUCCAGCCUGGGUGACAGAGUGAGACCAUGUCUCAA